rnacentral:rRNA from 1 species
CUGUGCAAAGGUAGCAUAAUCAUUAGUUUUUUAAUUGAAGGCUUGUAUGAAAGGUUGGACAAAGAAUAAUCUGUUUUUAUUUUUAUUUUUGAAUUUAACUUUUAAGUGAAAAGGCUUAAGUGAAUUUAAGGGACGAUAAGACCCUAUAAAUCUUUAUAUUAGAUUAUUUUUAGUUAUUUAAUAUUGUGAAUAUAACAAUAAAGUGGUAUAUAUUGUGUUGGGGUGAUGAGAAUAUAAUAAAUAACUGUUCUAAAAUUAAAACAAAAUUAUUUGUAUAAAUAAUAGAUCCUUUAUUGAGAUUAAAAGUUUAAGUUACUUUAGGGAUAACAGCGUUAUUUUUUUUGAGAGUUCUUAUCGAAAAAAAAGUUUGCGACCUCGAUGUUGAAUUAAAAUUUCUUUGUGGUGUAGUUGUUACAAGAGAGAGUCUGUUCGACUUUUAAAUUUUU